rnacentral:tRNA from 1 species
CAUUAAGAAGCUAUGCACCAGCACUAGCCUUUUAAGCUAGAGACAGAGGAUUAUUAACCCCUCCUUAAUG